rnacentral:rRNA from 1 species
UAGCCUUGACAUUGAUUGAACACACUAGAGAUAGAGUGGUGCCCUUCGGGGAACAUGAAAACAGGUGCUGCACGGCUGUCGUCAGCUCGUGUCGUGAGAUGUUGGGUUAAGUCCCGCAACGAGCGCAACCCUCGUCCUUAGUUGCUAGCAGUUUGGCUGAGCACUCUAAGGAGACUGCCUUCGUAAGGAGGAGGAAGGUGAGGACGACGUCAAGUCAUCAUGGCCCUUAUGGCUAGGGCUACACACGUGCUACAAUGGGGCGUACAGAGUGUUGCGAUACCGCGAGGUGGAGCUAAUCACUUAAAGCGUCUCUCAGUUCGGAUUGGAGUCUGCAACUCGACUCCAUGAAGCUGGAAUCACUAGUAAUCGUAGAUCAGCAAUGCUACGGUGAAUACGUUCCCGGGUCU